AGCCAGACUCCUACGGGAGGCAGCAGUGGGGAAUAUUGCACAAUGGGGGAAACCCUGAUGCAGCGACGCCGCGUGAGCGAUGAAGUAUUUCGGUAUGUAAAGCUCUAUCAGCAGGGAAGAAAAUGACGGUACCUGACUAAGAAGCCCCGGCUAACUACGUGCCAGCAGCCGCGGUAAUACGUAGGGGGCAAGCGUUAUCCGGAUUUACUGGGUGUAAAGGGAGCGUAGGCGGUUUAGCAAGUCAGAAGUGAAAGCCCGUGGCUCAACCGCGGAACUGCUUUGGAAACUGUGCGGCUUGAGUGCGGGAGGGGCAGGCGGAAUUCCUAGUGUAGCGGUGAAAUGCGUAGAUAUUAGGAGGAACACCGGCGGCGAAGGCGGCCUGCUGGACCGUAAAUGACGCUGAGGCUCGAAAGCGUGGGGAGCAAACAGGAUUAGAUACCCUCGUAAUG
rnacentral:rRNA from 1 species